CGCACUAGUCACUUUGUCUUUAUGGCAAAUGUGAGAUGCASUGUAUGGAAUGUCAAAUUUCUAGUAUGAGAAAUUAACGAUUUAAGUCCUUCUUAAAUGAGGCCAUUUACCCAUAGAGGGUGCCAGGCCCGUAUAACGUUAAUGAUUACUAGAUGGCAUUUCCAAAGAGUCGUGUUGCUUGAUAGUGCAGCACUAAGUGGGUGGUAAACUCCAUCUAAAACUAAAUAUAACCAUGAGACCGAUAGUAAACAAGUACCGUGAGGGAAAGUUGAAAAGAACUCUGAAUAGAGAGUUAAAUAGUACGUGAAACUGCUUAGAGGUUAAGCCCGAUGAACUUGAAUAUCCAUUAUAGAAAAUUCAUCAUUAUGAUUUUAAUAUAUAAAUAAUAUUAUAAUAAUAGUGUGCAUUUUUUCUAUAUAAAGGACAUUGUAAUCUAUUAACAUUAAUGCAAGGAUUUAUCAUAAGAUCAUUUGCAAAAGUUUAUUCAAAUUAUUUUGCUUGCAAUUUAACAUAGAAUAAAUGCUUAUGAUUUGAUAAAGUGUUGAUAGAUUUAUUAUAAUAUAGUGCUUAAAUUUAUUUAUAAAUUUUAUAAUAGCAUAUUAAUCAAUGAUUUUUAUGUUUAUUAUAUGCACUUAUAUGAUUAACAAUGCGAAAGAUUCAGGAUACCUUCGGGACCCGUCUUGAAACACGGACCAAGGAGUCUAACAUAUUUGCAAGUUAUUGGGAAUAAAAACCUAAUAGCGAAAUUAACAUAACUUAUAUAAUGGGAUUAGUUUUUAGCCUAUUUAUAGUCUAUUAAUUCAAUCCCGGGGCGUUCUAUACAGUUAUGUAUAAUAAUAUUUAUAUUAUUUAUACCUCUAACUAGAGCGUACCUUGAGCAUAUAUGCUGUGACCCGAAAGAUGGUGAACUAUACUUGAUCAGGUUGAAGUCAGGGGAAACCCUGAUGGAAGACCGAAACAGUUCUGACGUGCAAAUCGAUUGUCAGAAUUGAGUAUAGGGGCGAAAGACCAAUCGAACCAUCUAGUAGCUGGUUCCCUCCGAAGUUUCCCUCAGGAUAGCUGGUGCAUUUAAAACUUAUGUAAAAUAAUCUUAUCUGGUAAAGCGAAUGAUUAGAGGCCUUAGGGUCGAAACGAUCUUAACCUAUUCUCAAACUUUAAAUGGGUAAGAACCUCACCUUUCUUGGUAUGAAGGUAGUGGUUGUGAUAUAAUGUGCCCAGUGGGCCACUUUUGGUAAGCAGAACUGGCGCUGUGGGAUGAACCAAACGUAAUGUUACGGUGCCCAAAUUAACAACUCAUGCAGAUACCAUGAAAGGCGUUGGUUGCUUAACA
rnacentral:rRNA from 1 species